CUCAAUGGCGGGCCGGGCGGGGGCAUCGCAAGAUGCGCCGGUUUCCUGUAACACCGGUAAGGCUAACCCUGCCCGGUUCUGCCACCAGU
rnacentral:antisense_RNA from 1 species